rnacentral:tRNA from 1 species
ACCUUUGUGGUGUAAUGGUCAGCACACUUGACGCGUAUUCGAGAGGCCCUUGGUUCGAGUCCCAGCGAGGGAA